rnacentral:RNase_P_RNA from 3 species
AGAGUUGACUAGACAAUCGCUGCCCUUAUGGGGGGAGGAAAGUCCGGGCUCCAUAGGAUAAGGUGCCAGGUAACGCCUGGGAGGCGCGAGCCUACGGAAAGUGCAACAGAAAAUAUACCGCCUUUAUGAAGGUAAGGGUGAAAUGGUGUGGUAAGAGCGCACCGCGUUUGUGGUAACACAAAUGGCAGUGUAAACCCCACCUGGAGCAAGACCAAAUAGGAAUCUGUAUACUGUUGUCCGCGGUUAGAUUCGGGUAGGUCGCUUAAGAUUCAUGGUGACAUGAAUCGUAGAUGAAUGAUUGUCCACGACAGAACCCGGCUUAUAGUCAACUCUAAUU